rfam:Picea glauca, whole genome shotgun sequence.
UCUUAUGUACAUACAUGCAACAUAGAGUCAAUGCACUAGAUCCCAUUAGAACUUCACAUUUAAGCAUGCUCAGGCUAGAGUAUUACUUGGAUGAGUGAGCAUCGGGGAAUUCCUAGUGUUUUAAAUGC